GACAGAGGUGGCGAGCGUUGUUCGGAUUUAUUGGGCGUAAAGCGCACGCAGGCGGUUUGGUAAGUCAGAGGUGAAAUUCCGCAGCUUAACUGCGGGACUGCCUUUGAUACUGCCUUUCUCGAGUGCAUGAGGGGGAAGCGGAAUUCCGGGUGUAGAGGUGAAAUUCGUAGAUAUCCGGAGGAACACCGGUGGCGAAGGCGGCUUCCUGGCAUGUAACUGACGCUCAGGUGCGAAAGCGUGGGUAGCAAACAGGAUUAGAUACCCUGGUAGUCCACGCCCUAAACGAUGGGCACUAGGUGUGGGAGGUAUCGACCCCUUCCGUGCCGCAGCUAACGCAUUAAGUGCCCCGCCUGGGGAGUACGGCCGCAAGGUUGAAACUUAAAUGAAUUGACGG
rnacentral:rRNA from 1 species